rnacentral:rRNA from 1 species
GGGACGUAACAAAGCGACCCAGGAAUGCUUGGGCGUGCCUCCACCCACGCCGGCGUCGGCGGGCGUAUUUCGCCUCACAGUAGGUCGCCGCGACCCGUUGCUUUUGGGGACGUCGAAGGCCCGGACGGAUUGGUACCCUACCGGCUGGGGAUGCGGCUUCGGCUUCUCCUCUUGUCCGGUGGGCGAAACCGCCGGUGUCCUGGCUGCCCUGCGACGGUCGUAGAGACGAGCCCUCCCCUUCGGGGGGGCGGCUCUCGCGGCGUGCAAAAGGUCGGUGAUCCACCCGACCCGUCUUGAAACACGGACCAAGGAGUCUAACAUGUGUGCGAGUCAGUGGGCGCACUAAACCCAGAGGCGUAAUGAAAGUGACACGGGUUCGGCUGUCGCCUCGUGUGGCAGCCGGACUCAGGGCCGAUCCCUCACCGGUUGCCCUCGCCUCUCUCCCGCGUCUCGGUAAGCCGGGUGAGCUAUUUUCCCCGGCCGCUGCUGCGGGGCUCGGGGGGAGGCGGGGUUGCGAUGGUGUCCGUAAAAAAGAGCCUGCUGUUGCAGGGGGGCGCAGGCCCGGGACUUGCCAGGACGCCGCGAGACUGUCACUUUGCUGUGAGGCUCUCGGGCCGAUCAGCGGGUCAUGCGUGCAGUCGGCAAGUACCAUGAGCAGACAUGUUGGGACCCGAAAGAUGGUGAACUAUGCCUGGCCAGGAUGAAGCCAGAGGAAACUCUGGUGGAGGUCCGUAGCGAUUCUGACGUGCAAAUCGAUCGUCGGAGCUGGGUAUAGGGGCGA